rnacentral:tRNA from 1 species
AAAAAGGUAGUUUAAAAAAAAUUAGAUUCUUCUAAAAUCUAGAUUCAAUAGUAUUCUUUUAUUUGAACUUUUUA